rnacentral:rRNA from 1 species
UACAGAGGGGGCCAGCGUUAUUCGGAAUUAUUGGGCGUAAAGAGCUCGUAGGCGGCUCAGUAAGUCAGGUGUGAAAACUCCAGGCUCAACCUGGAGACGCCACUUGAUACUGCUGUGGCUAGAGUCCGGUAGGGGAGCAUGGAAUUCCUGGUGUAGCGGUGAAAUGCGCAGAUAUCAGGAGGAACACCAGUGGCGAAGGCGGUGCUCUGGGCCGGAACUGACGCUGAGGAGCGAAAGCGUGGGGAGCAAACAGG